GGCAAACUGAAGAAGUGUUGGAGAGAUGAGGGGUUAAGAGUUCAUUCGGCUGUCCAGAUGUAUCCAAGUACCCUGUUAUUUGGCAAUAAAUACAUCUGGGCAACUGAUUGAACUUUUCGCUUCUCUUGACUCAACUGGA